rnacentral:rRNA from 1 species
AUGGGCAGGGGGUAAAAUAUUUAUAGGUAUAAGAUGGAUCCGCGUCCGAGUAGCUAGUUGGUGAGGUAAAAGGCCCACCAAGGCGACGAUCGGUAGCCGGCCUGAGAGGGUGAACGGCCACAUUGGGACUGAGACACGGCCCAAACUCCUACGGGAGGCAGCAGUGGGGAAUAUUGGACAAUGGGGGAAACCCUGAUCCAGCGACGCCGCGUGAGUGAAGAAGUAUUUCGGUAUGUAAAGCUCUAUCAGCAGGGAAGAAAAUGACGGUACCUGACUAAGAAGCCCCGGCUAACUACGUGCCAGCAGCCGCGGUAAUACGUAGGGGGCAAGCGUUAUCCGGAUUUACUGGGUGUAAAGGGAGCGCAGACGGCAAUGCAAGUCUGAAGUGAAAGGCGUGGGCUCAACCCAUGAACUGCUUUGGAAACUGUAUAGCUUGAGUGUCGGAGGGGUAAGCGGAAUUCCUAGUGUAGCGGUGAAAUGCGUAGAUAUUAGGAGGAACACCGGAGGCGAAGGCGGCUUACUGGACGACAACUGACGUUGAGGCUCGAAGGCGUGGGGAGCAAACAGG